UAUGGAGGCAUAUUGUUUCUUUUCUUGUUAUUUCUAGCCACAUGUAAUGAAACCAUACCUGAAGGUUUUAUUUUGAAAACUGAUUUGGUUGAUUAAGUCAAUAAUACCUGACUAUAAAACUGCCAAAAUUAGCAUUUGUUCGCACCUCCACAGUAUGAAGAAUUGAACAUUUAUGAAUGGAAUAGACUUUAAGCAUGUUUAUUGCCAGUAUUUCUCUAGACUUCAAUUUUGAAGGAGACUGUUAAGCUAUCUGUGUCUACCGUCAAUGGCAUCCAAGGCAAUGUGCUAAACUAACUUUUGCCAGAUUGUUGGUAUAAUUUUUCAUCAUUUCAUUACAUUGGCCAGUAUUAUCUCAAUUCACCUUUAUCCCAGUGAAAUAGCAAGGUACUGAAACUCUUUUAGAGUGUAUUGUCAAGAUGUAUUCUGGAGCUUCAUUGGGGUGAAGUGGUGUCUCAAAUUGUUUUGAAGUGCAUUAUUUUGAGUGGGGCACCUAUAUUUAUGAGCCAUAGGGGGCAAAGCAUAUGCUUGACCUCAAAAUACUAUUUAUUUUAUGGUUGCACUUUCUAGUUACUGCUUUGACCUUCAGUUGAUUCAGACAACAUACUGCAAUUGAAUAAAAAUCAUAGGCAUUGCUUUUUAAUUGGAUAGGUGAUUCCAAUAAAAGUUGCCACGCUUUUCUGCAAGCUUUUCCAAAGGUGUUUAUAUUUCACUGUUAUUUUUUUUUCACUUUACAAUUUUAAUAUUGAGAUAUUAUUGGACAUUAUCCUUAUUUUCCCCCUUGUAUUGUCUUGCCUAUAUUCAAGUAUAGUAGUUAAGAUGGUCCUACUUAAUAUUGUGUUGCACCUUGCAUAAUGAUGCGUAAAACAACUAUAUUUUAUAUGCCUUCACCAUUUAUAGCACAGUCCUGAAACAUCAAAAUUUGCUACCUGUUCAAUUUCAUAUAUUUCUGUCCCCUUAAUAGCAUCUUUUUAAAGUGUGUUGCUCAAAUAAUGAAAUUGGAAGAUUGGAUGAGAUGAGCAACAUCUAUUUAUUAAAUACCGGACAGUAGUUUGUGUUUUAUCUGACUGAUUAUCAUGUAGGGGGGUGAGAUAGAAGGGGAGGAGUCAACUUGUUCAUUCUGCUAAAAUAACUCUAGUUUUAGCUUAGAACUGAAGUUUAUCAUGAAAAAUUGUCUCAAUAUUGUGAACAAAAUCCCAGUGUACCAUGUUCAAUUUUAGGCAUUAGACAUUUCUCGGUUACAUACUUACAUUACAUUACUUUGAAUCUUGAAGCAAAUUUAAGUUUAGGGGUUAAUGAGGCUGUUAGUUGGAGUAUACUUUGUAAUCAUCAGAAGAAAAUCUAGUAACAACAUUUAUAGGCAAAACCAUCAAGAUAAAUUCCUUUCAAAAAAUUCACACUUCUCUGACAGCAUUGCUUCAUUCUCAAAAGCACUCAGAUCCUUUAGAUUAUCAAGUUCCAGUCCUACAUUCUCUCUUGUUGAUCCCAAAAGUGGCAUACACCAAGGAAAGAGUUCUUGUCUGUUCAAAAUGAAGAAGCAAUGCUUAGUAAAUUUUCCUUUAGAUAUAAAAUUGUCUAUUUACUAAACAUUUGCCACUUGUCCAACUAUCAAUUGCUAAAAUUCUUUCUCGAGAUGCUCUCUAAGCAAAUAAGUGUCUUCAGAAGGCACUUUUCUCCUUCAGAUAGCUUUCUGUGGAAAGAAACCAUUCUUUGGUAACAAAUUCCUUUUUUUUAAUUUUUUGUUUUUAUCAGCACCCUGGAAAUUUUCCAAUCCCCUCUUCCUUGAAGAGUUGAAAAAGGAAGAAGUAAAGGAAGUGCUAUGAACUCUUUUCAAGUGUUCAAGUGAUUCUAUUUUGAUUACUAAUGUCUCUUCUUUCU
rnacentral:misc_RNA from 1 species